UUUGUCAGCUGAUCCUUAUCGAUGCGAUAAGACAGCUGUGCUACCUUGACCGAAUCACACGGCGCGGGAGGGGCCCCUACCUUCAAACUAACAGCUGUCAAGUAAUGGUCCGACACACAAAUAUCAACAACGCCGGCUUUAAUUUCUAUUUUGUUUUUGUUCGUUAAUUUUAAUAGUAUGUGAUCUAAACAUGUUUUUGAAUUUACAGUGACUCUAGUAGGUUCGUUUAUUAAAGAUUCAAAUCCAUUACAAGCCAAGGAAGAUCUUCCCACCUCUGACCCAGAGCCACUUGUAAUUCAGCUGCUUCCGUGCCUGCCUCGCCAUGCCCAGCAACCUCCUUCUCGCUGGGGAGAGUGAUUCGUUCACAUCUGACGGCAGGUCCAAAUGUCUAGUGGAGAAAUCUCUCUUGGCUCGCCAAUUGACUUGACUUCCCAUGCACUUUACCUGUGUAAAUAUGAUUUUGACAAAAUAAAAUGCGUGGUGUUUAUGUGA